GAUACCCCACAUCCAAAGACAAAGGAGAAGCCACAAUGAGACGUUCUGAAGGCUGGGAAGGCCAAGAUCAAAGUGCUGGCAGAUUCAAUGUCUGGUGAGAGCUUGCUUCCUGGUCCAUAGACUGCCUAUGUGUUCUCACUGUGUCCUCACCUGGCAGAAAGGGCAAGUGAUUAGCCAGCGGCUUUGGUAGUGGUCAUUGUCAUCAAAACUGCCAUGGAAGCAAAAUUCCAUAGCCUGGUGUGCAGCCCUCAGAAAGCUCCUCUUAUACUUCAAGUUCUCAUUUAAAGGAUCAGUUUAUCCUGAAAUAUGUUACAGAGGAGAAAUGGAAAGAUUCUUUGAAAAAUUUUAUCAUUAUACCAGAACAUCUUCUGGAAAUAUCAGAAUGAGCUGACCCUAGACACUGACGCCAUCACCCAUCAGAAGCCAUGACCCGUGAUUUAUGGGUGUGAAUUAGAUCGUAGACUCUCAAGAGAAUUGACACCCUCAGCAACUGCAAAAUGAAGAAAUCUGUGUCAUUUUGCUCAGGAUGAGUGAGUAUACCAACAGCAAUGAUGACCUUUAUUUUCAAAUCAUGGACAAUCAGAGGUAUAGAUUUACACGGGGAUUGUAGGCCUGGGAUUAGGCCAUUGAAUUUUUAACUUCCAUGUGAUAUUUUUUACGUGACUUUUUUCUAAGCCAGAUUCUGCCAUGCUAUACUUGCUCAAUUUAUUCUUUUUUUAAACUUAGAAGCAGAACUUUACUAUAUCUACUAAUUUUAUCUUAACCCUUCUAAGUUGUAGAAAGGCUUUUAAGUUUUAAUUUUAUCAUCUGUACUACUAAUUAGCAUUUCCAGCUUUAUGAUGCUAAAACUUUAGCAAGAAUGGCACCUCUGUGAAGGCACGAGCUCUGUUCACUGGUCAGAAUGUAACACAGUACAGUUACUUUGGAGGUGAAUUUGGCAAUGUAUUUUAAAAUUAAAGUUGAAAAUGCAGGAACCCAAUAAAUCCAUCGCUAGGUAACUCUGGAGAAAAAGUUAAAUAUAUGCACAUGGAGAUACGUACAAAGAUGGUCAUCGCAGCACUGUUUGUAGUGGCCAAGACUUGUGUAAAACCUAAAUGUACAUCAGUCAGGAAAUAAUUAAGGACUCUGGAAUACUCUGUAGCCAUUAAAAUGAACAAGGUAGAUCCAUGUUUAAUUAUCAUGGAAAGAAUUCUAAGACAUACACUGAGCGAAAACACAAGUUACUGAAAGUUAGGGAAACAUGAUACCAUUUAUGUAAAGAUACAUACAGUCAUACUAAACAACACUGUAUCUUUUCUAUGGUACACAUAUGCAUGUAAAUACACAAAGAAAAAUCUGAAGUGAUACACCCCAAACUGAGAAAAAUGGUUUUAUCUGGGAAGAAGAAGGAAGUGACUGGGAUUGGGGGUGGAGUCCAAAGGAUACUCUCACCAUUAUCUGUAAUGCUGUCAUUUUUCACAAAGAUAUUGUAUAACUUUGUAUUAUUGUACAAAGUUAAUUUUUAACCGGUUAAAACCCAACAACGAAAAGAAUGAAAAGAAACCUAAUUCAAGGUGUCAAUAAAAAUGUUUAAAAGGAAAACAUCCUUAAGCUCACAUUAAAAAAAUACUCCUUCAUUUUAUAGAAAUGGUAAAUGAAGAAAUAAGAAACCAAUUAUAAGACAUUAGCUGCCUGAGAAAGUCCAGGAACAUCUUCUCACUGGAAGAUUCUCAACGUGUCCUUGUGGACAUUUGGGGAAUGGGCAGCAAAUCAAUCCAUGCUCUCUCCUGUUCCGUGAUGUGGCCUAUUUCUGGGCCCUCAUCCCUUCAUAUUCAGUAUGAAUUUUGGUUUUAUCUCUUAUAAUGGAACUGAAAAUUAAAAUACCUCAGAGUCCAACUUUGAGGAGCGAGGCAAUAAGUGGAUGAAGGGAUACUUACAAAGAUCUCUCAAAAUACAACUGCAGCCACUUUCCAACAGGGAGGAUAAGAUGGAGUGCAGAAGUCAGCAGAGAGCUGUCCCUGGAAUCCUACAGGACAUGGCCAGAGACGACACAGGGCAUCUUUACUUCAUGGACACUCUGCAUUUACUUUCUGGUUUUUAUUGAGGAAUUUUACCUCAAAUUAUUAUAUUUUUCUCAUUACAUAUGUUUUCAAAUAAGUAGGAAAAAUUAGUACAUGCAUAUGGUUUAAAAAAAUCAAGUAGUACAAAAACAGUACAAUGAGAAGUCUUCCUUUAACUGCAGAUUCCAGUCCCCAGAGGCAGACACUCCUGAAAUACUCUGUCUAUAAAAGCACGUAUCGGGUUGGCCAAAAUGUUCAUUCGUUUUUUUCCGUAAGAUGCCUCUAGUAGCACUUAGUUGU